AAACGAUGAGUGCUAAGUGUUAGGGGGUUUCCGCCCCUUAGUGCUGCAGCUAACGCAUUAAGCACUCCGCCUGGGGAGUACGGCCGCAAGGCUGAAACUCAAAGGAAUUGACGGGGGCCCGCACAAGCGGUGGAGCAUGUGGUUUAAUUCGAAGCAACGCGAAGAACCUUACCAGGUCUUGACAUCCCGCUGCCCGCCUUAGAGAUAAGGCUUUCCCUUCGGGGACAGCGGUGACAGGUGGUGCAUGGUUGUCGUCAGCUCGUGUCGUGAGAUGUUGGGUUAAGUCCCGCAACGAGCGCAACCCUUGAUCUUAGUUGCCAGCAUUCAGUUGGGCACUCUAAGGUGACUGCCGGUGACAAACCGGAGGAAGGUGGGGAUGACGUCAAAUCAUCAUGCCCCUUAUGACCUGGGCUACACACGUGCUACAAUGGACGGUACAAAGGGCAGCCAACCCGCGAGGGGGAGCCAAUCCCAGAAAACCGUUCUCAGUUCGGAUUGCAGGCUGCAACUCGCCUGCAUGAAGCCGGAAUCGCUAGUAAUCGUGGAUCAGCAUGCCACAGUGAAUACGUUCCCGGGCCUUGUACACACCGCCCGUCACACCACGAGAGUUUGUAACACCCGAAGUCGGUGAGGUAACCCUUGUGGAGCCAGCCGCCGAAGGUGGGACAGAUGAUUGGGGUGAAGUCGUAACAAGGUAACC
rnacentral:rRNA from 1 species